AUUGACCGCUGGCGGCAGGCCUAACACAUGCAAUUCUAACGAGUGGCGGACGGGUGCGUCAUGUCUGGGAAACUGCCCGAUUUAGGGGGAUAACUACUGGAAACGGUAGCUAAUACCUCAUAACAUCGGAUUUGCCCCGAUGGGAUUAGCUAGUAGGUGGGGUAAAGGCUCACCUCGGCGACGAUCCCUAGCUGGUCUGAGAGGAUGACCAGCCACACUGGAACUGAGACACGGUCCAGACUCCUACGGGAGGCAGCAGUGGGGAAUAUUGCACAAUGGGCGCAAGCCUGAUGCAGCAAUGCCGCGUGUAUGAAGAAGGCCUUCGGGUUGUAAAGUACUUUCAGCGAGGAGGCGUUACUCGCAGAAGAAGCACCGGCUAACUCCGUGCCAGCAGCCGCGGUAAUAC
rnacentral:rRNA from 1 species